rnacentral:rRNA from 1 species
CCCUUAGAUGUUCUGGGCCGCACGCGUGCUACACUGAGUGGAUCAGCGGGUCAGGUUGCGCGAGAGCGUUUCCCAAUCUUUAAAUCCGCUCGUGAUGGGGAUUGACGGUUGCAAUUUUCUGUCAUGAACGAGGAAUACCUUGUAAGCGCGGGUCAUCAUCCCGCGCUGAAUACGUCCCUGCCCUUUGUACACACCGCCCGUCGCUCCUACCGAUUGAGUGGUCCGGUGAGGCUUUGGGAUCUGAGCGGAAAGAGCGUUUCGCUGUUUCUGCUCGGAAAACUCAGUCGAACCUUAUCAUUUAGAGGAAGGAGAAGUCGUAACA